AGUAAUGUAUGGGGAUCUGCCUGAUGGCGGGGGAUAACUACUGGAAACGGUAGCUAAUACCGCAUAAUGUCUGCGGACCAAAGAGGGGGACCUUAGGGCCUCUUGCCAUCGGAUGUGCCCAGAUGGGAUUAGCUAGUAGGUGGGGUAACGGCUCACCUAGGCGACGAUCCCUAGCUGGUCUGAGAGGAUGACCAGCCACACUGGAACUGAGACACGGUCCAG
rnacentral:rRNA from 1 species